ensembl:ncRNA T10H4.19 ncRNA
AUCAACUUAGUUGUAUUAUCCGAUCGAUCAUUUAACGCAUUUUUAUUCAUAUUAUUUCUCUUUUUCUUUAUGGUUCUCAAUUGAAUAAGUAGACUGACUGUUAGAAUUGGAUAUAAAAUGGUUAGGAUAAA